CCCAGCUCCUCUUCAAUCUACACAGAAGACAGGAAACAGGAAAUACCUGUGGUUAAGAGACUGGCCUGUGAGUUGGUGCAGAGCUCAUCAUCUUCUCGUCGUCCUGAGUGCUGCUUACAAACGGUCCGUAUCAUCACUGAAUUAUGCUGUAAAUCUGGAAGCGGGUGAACUUAUUGUCAUGUUUUGGUGGCACCGAGUGUGUGCGUCACAUCUCCCGGCCCGUGCACACACAUCCACAGGUGCAGACAAAGUGCUCUGUGGCGCAGGACGCGACUGAGCAUGCACAGAAAACUCCAGACUCUGACCAUGAACCGAACCGGAGGACAAUAGUGCUUCUAAAACCAUGACAUCAUACUGAUCCCAGAGUGCAGACGCAAACGCAGCCAGGAGAGGGCGACAGAGACUACACUGGCUGGACCCAGCAGAAGUGAAUCAGAGCGGCAUUUCAAAUGACUCUUUGUUGUCGGAGUGCUGUCUACUAGACUGUGGCGAUGACGUCGGCCACUUCGGAUGGAGGCGUAUUUGGCCAUUUUAAACCGAUCACAAGUCAGUGCCGCAGGUAAGAGUGUCUCGCAAACAUAUCAGGGGACACAUACAGUAUGUGGUAAUAUGUGUUAUUGCAUAUUAUGAAAGUUAGUUGUCGCUGCUGAUCCUGCUUAAUAAUUACAGCUACAGAUUAAAGUCAAUAAAAAUGUCAGCUGAUGAGAGAUUUUUAGACAAAAGAAAACCUGUUAAGAACAAGAUAUAACUAUAAUCAGUGUGUUAUUAAAAAAAAGGAGAGAAGACAGUGUGGUAUUAAUAGAACAAUACGGUCGUGUAGAGGUUUCUCCACCAUCAGGAAAGGGUGCGUGGGAGAGACAUGGUUGCAUGCUCCCUGCAGGAAGGCAUGCCACUGUCAUCACCACCUGUGGUGAGGGAAAUCUGUGCGUGUGUGUGUUUCUGUGUGAACUCAUGAAUGUCUGUCUGGGUCGCCUUUCAUGCCUGUGCAGCCUGCUGAGGUGAAAGCAAAUCUGCAUCCGGACCUGUUCACUUACACAUGAAGAUGCUGCUGGACUGUUGGUGUUUCAGCAUAUUAAGCACACAUAUGUUUGCCUGUUGACCUGUACAAGGGCUCUGUUUGUGUGGAGGACAUACGUAACCUAAAUAAGAAUCAAUAUUAACUGUAAAUAAUUCAGUAUCAGUCAGAGUGGGACUUUUGGAUUUUGAAGGGGAGGCAGGAUUUUUGUGUUUUUGUUAAAUUUGUCCUCGUCUGUCUCCUCGUUUCAGGAUUAUUCUAUUAAGGGAUUUAUUUAAGGGAUUGAGGAAUUUUAUUUACGAGAUAGUGUUUUUUUGUUGUUUUGUUUUUUUACAUUUCUUGAGAAAUAAUGCAGAGAUCAUUAUUAUUUUCUUUAAAAAUUAAGCACAAUUUGGUGAAGAUCUGGAUAUCAAUCCAUAUGUGACUCAAAAUAUGGAUUUAAGGGGGUUAUCUUUAUUCAAUAAACAGAAAUAAUUAUUUGCUUGCUUUUUCACAUAAUGUACAUGCCCACAGUGUUGAGCAAAAAGGUUGUUGGUUUGUGUUCUUGGAAUAGGUUCUAGUUUUUUUUUUUCCGUUCCUGUUUUUGGUUUCUCUUCUGUUCUCAUGCAGGAGAGGAUCACGGUGGGUAAAUGAAUGAUAAUACAUCCCCACUAUCCUUUUAAUUCGGAUUAUUAACACACCUAGUAAGUUAAUAAUGCGACUCCACACACACUCAGAGGCUCUGUUCAUGUGUGACACGAUCACACAGGACGGAAGAUCUGAGACCCCUGUGUUUGGAGGUUGUCUGGGUCGUGUAUGACCACAUUCGUUUAUUGUAAACAGACUGAUAGACCGUCUCCUCAGCUGACAUCCACGUGACUAACUCUGGAUUUUUGCACAUGUUUGAUAUGAAUAUACUUAGGUAUAGAGUUUAAAAUGUAGUAAUACUUAUUGGUGAAGAUGCACGUUGCAUGAUGAAUAUCCCUCACUACUCCCUUCUCUUCCAAGUUAUGUAGCCUUAGUUAAAAGAAGUUUAGUUUGUUCAUUGUGGGCUAUUGUUUAAACAUGGUGGUCCAAAAUGGCAGACUCUGGAGAGCUGACGCAGUUUCUGGUAUAAGGAUAAAGGGCUUAUCCUGGGGUAAUGGAAACACUUCAUACAUUCAGGUGGUUUUUUUGUGUUCAAACUUAUUUUAGUCAGUUAUUUCUCCCAUCAGGAUUAGGAUAGAAAUUUAAAUUAUAGUUUAGUUUUUAAAAAGCCACAUAACCAUGUAAGUCAAAGCUUCACAAAUAUUUCUGAAGUAAGUGCGUCUUGAAGCCUUUUCUCAUUGGCGGUUAGAAAACAUGUCCUUCGUUCAUAUCGUCUGUAUUGAUCAGUGAUGCCUGCAGAAAAACUAAACUAUAAAAACUAACUAAGUGUAGAUAUAGUGUUUCUUUUAUCACACCUUUUGUUCCAGGUGAGCCCGGCGCAGCGACACCUUCUGCUCCAGCUUCUGCUGCUCCCGCUCGUGCUGCGCCUCGGUCUGCAUCUUGAUCUUGCUCUGGUAGGCAUUGAGCAGCUCCAUCUCCUGCUGCAGCUGCUGCCUCAGGGCCUGGCACUCGGCUUCCUGGGCUUCGUCCAGACGCAGCUGACACAGGCGACCGUGGACCACGGCACGGGAGAGAGGAGGUACAAAGAGACGCGGGCAGAGAGGAGGGGAGAUCGGGGUUGGGUGUGGUGGGUACGGUUAAAGUACAUAGAGAGAGAUGGAAUAGACAGAAAUAUAGACAGGAAGGAGAGGAACGGACGUGGUGAUUAAAGGAUGGAGGACAGACAGGACAUAGAAAGGAGAGGAGGAGGGAAAGACAUGCAAAUGAGGGUGAGAAAAAGGUCAAGGAAGAAGAGAAUGACAUUAGACAAAGAAAAAUGAUGAGAUAGCAUAAGUAACAGGUGGGCUGAAAUUAUUCAUAAUGUCCUUCUAAGAUCUAAAGGUCUUGAAAUAAAAGAAUGUCUUCCUGCUUUUAUGAGCAGAGUUAAUUAUUGCUUGUGACAAAAUUGACCGUGUUAACCUGUCUCGACUCACCGCCUGUGAGGCCAUCAUUUCAUUGAUGCUCUGCUCGUACUGCUCAGCCAGGAUGGCCAGCUUGCGUGUCUGCUCAUCCUUGAGGGCCUUGAGCACCGUCUUGUGCUCGGACUUGGGUGUUAUUUCCAUCUGGUGGUGGCGCAGGGCUUUGUACUGCUUGGUCUGCACCUUGCAUGUGUCCUGAAACUGCUUUUUGAUCUGCAGUUCCAAAGCCUGGUGGGGAGAACAUAGACAGAGAGGGAGAUGCAGUUAGCGAGUAGAUUCUACACUUCUUUAAAAACUUUCUUCAAGAUUGUCUAUGUGAAUUUGUGCCCAAGCAUUUAUGAGUUCAGGCACUGAUGUCGGACAAGAAGGCCUGGCUCGCAAUGCCUGUUCCAGUUCAUCCCAAAGGUGCAAGUUAGGGUUGAGUUCAGGGCUCUGUGCGGGUCAGUCAAGUUCUUCCACACCAAACUCAUCUACUGAUGUCUUUACAGUCCUUGCUUUGUGAGCACAAUCAUGUUGGAAAAGAAAAGGGCUGUCCUCAAAGCUGGAAGCAUAGCAUUGUCCAAAAUGUCUUGGUAUGCUAAAGCGUUAAGAUUGUCCUUCAUUGAGAUAAGGUGUCUAGCCCGAACCCUGAUUGAAACACCUAUACUUAAAAAGUGCAUCCGCUCCCUCUCACACUACUAUUUCAAUAUGCCAUUAUUGUCAUUGUUAUUAUUGUUACAUCACUAUUUCGAUAUCUGUUUUUAUGUUUGACCUUAAAAAAACAGCACGGAAAUACUCAUAUGCACAUAUUGAAUGGGUGCUGUAUUAUCUGUACAUAAAUUCAAGGAAUGUCUGUCUGUCUGUUAAUUACAUAACUGUCCAACAGUUCCCUUGACAGGUGACUUACUAAGACGUUGAUGUUGUUUAAAUUUCAAGAAAGUGGGUACUGCGCCCAAUAAAAUAAAACUUAAUUGGGAGAUGGAAUGUGUUUAAGCAUCACUGAAUAUCUUACAUCAAGGUUUCAUCAUUGCAUUAU